CUUGGCGGAGUUCAGGAUGUG
rnacentral:siRNA from 1 species